rnacentral:lncRNA from 1 species
GCAAAUCUUUUUGGGAAGGGAGGAGGUACCUUGAAUUUCUCCAUAAGUUGUUGUUUCUGCCUUUGACUGGAUUCUGCCUGGUCUGUUGAUUUGGGCAGAUCACUCUCUGCCUUCUCUGGUGAUUUGGGCAAAUCACUGCUGGACAGCUCAGUUUGCCCAGCGAUCGGGUCAGUUUCUACUAGUGAAUUGGGCAAAUCACUGCCCUGAUCACUUUCUGGCAGAAUUUCUUCCAUGGCCUGUUUUUGCAAUUUUUUAGCCUUGCUGUCUUGUAGCUCUUUUCCACUCCUCAAUGUGAUGGCAC